rnacentral:rRNA from 1 species
UGGGGAAUAUUGGACAAUGGGCGCAAGCCUGAUCCAGCAAUGCCGCGUGGAUGAAGAAGGUCUUCGGAUUGUAGAGUCCUUUCGGCGGGGACGAUGAUGACGGUACCCGCAGAAGAAGCCCCGGCUAACUUCGUGCCAGCAGCCGCGGUAAUACGAAGGGGGCUAGCGUUACUCGGAAUGACUGGGCGUAAAGGGCGCGUAGGCGGUUUGGACAGUUAGGCGUGAAAUUCCUGGGCUCAACCUGGGGGCUGCGCUUAAUACAUCCAGACUUGAGUGGGGAAGAGGGUCGUGGAAUUCCCAGUGUAGAGGUGAAAUUCGUAGAUAUUGGGAAGAACACCGGUGGCGAAGGCGGCGACCUGGUCCACUACUGACGCUGAGGCGCGAAAGCGUG